rnacentral:lncRNA from 1 species
GAUAAAAUACCUGUAUGGGUGGGACUCUGAAAGACUGAACCCAAUGUGUUUGAUCUUCAUCAUUCUUUUUCAUUUUUUGAACAGUCACAGAAAGGGAGUUGUGCUAUUUUUCUUGGUGACACAUUGCAAAGUUCAAUAAUGCACACUGCUUUAAUUUAACUCCCUUGCGAAUUCUAAUGCUUUCACUUUUCUCAUUGGAUGUGAGGAAUGGUGGUGAUAAUAGUAUAGCUGAAACUUUUCUAUUUUAUUUCUGGAUGGAUAAUUUUACUUUCUUCUGUUUUUCUUAAAAGUACUUCUUUCCAUUCUCUUAAUCAUCUUUUGACCACAUUUGAAUUCUUCCCAUGUUCUCCUUAAAAAGUAUACUAUACAUUAUCAGUAUAAGAGAUUAUACUGUAUACUGCUGAAAUCCUGAAAUUUUCUAAAUCUUAUUAUAGAAUUUUUUUUUUCUACUGUGGUUUCUGAGAUGGCACGAUGACAAAACUUAUUGCCUUGUGGAUGUCUGUUAGUUUUGCUCAUGGUUUUGUAACUGAUAACUUCAGUUUAUUAUCCAUUACAGUUGACUGUGGUCCAUUUGGUUUUAUGAAGGCCUAUAAUCAGGUCUACUAAGAAAACUUCUAAUGUAGAAAACAAGCCUAGGAGUUUGUUUGGCCUGGUGCACAUCCAUCAUCUGAUAACUGGGAUGCUUCUGUCUGCUCUCCCUGCCAUGGUGAGUGGACAGGACACUGUGGCUGACUGUGGGAAGGGCUCAUUUCCAGUCGUUGAUACUCCAUCCCCACAGAAAAAUAGGAGCCUUGAUUAAAUAAAACACUGCAGAAUUAGAUUUCCCA